CCGGCCGCUGCAGAAGCCAGCCGGGGCCUUGCAGCUGAAGGCUGUAGGCUGGGUUCUAAUCCAGCGGUGCUUUGAAAUCCUCCUGUGGCCUUGGGCAAGUCCUUCCCCUCGCUGGGCCUUCGUGUCGGAGCGGUAAGCCUUCCUGUGACCGUUAGGGACCUCUGAUUCUGAUGGUCCUGGCAUCUUCUGUUCUUUCCAAUGAAACAGCGCUCAGCACCCAGUUUUCGUCUCGCGAAGCCUGCGCGACACCUACCGGAAGACGAGUGAAUUCCACCGCUGGGCGGAGCUAGAUGCCAGCCCCACUGCCUGUCUGAAUCCGGAGGUUUCCUGGCCCCGGGAAGAAGUCAGGCACUGGCUUCCUACUUUCCUUGGCUCUGUAACCUGUGGAGAGUGCAGGUCCCUAUCCUGGACCCGGAAGCUCGCAUGUACGUCAGAGGAGCCCUGCACAGAGGAAAAAGUUAAUUCAAACAACGUGGUCUGAAGAGUCAGACUGGCCUGUCGGCUCCAGUUUAUGUCAUGUGAACUUCCAUCUCUCCGAACCCCUUUGCUCACAUUUUAAAUGAAUCCACAAUAAUAGUACCCGAUUCAGAGGGCUCUCAUGAUGGCCAUAUGUGAAAGUGGUCAUCCACGCAUGCCACAUGGCAAAUGCACGGAAGAGGAGACCGGUCAGCACUGCGGGGCGGACAGCACCCUGGCCACGCCCUCGCCUGGCUGGCCACUGCCCACACUUCCUGGGUCUUCCUGCGCAAUGAUGGAUCUGAGCCCCAGCCACCACCCUCCUUUAGGUGACCAUUCUUCAAGGGCUUGGAACCUGACCUAAAGGACCAGGGCUUGGCAUAUGGUGCCUCAGCAGGCAAGCAUGAGGUAGGCAGGACCCCUCUCACCACCAGUCCUGGGCAGGGAAUCCAGGCUUCCAAAAAGCGUGAGAAAGGGCCCUUCCCACAAGGGCUCAGGACUUGGCGAGAUAAAACGGGUGUGUGUGAAAUUCUUGGAGAGUGAUAAGAGGUGUGUGGAUUAAGAUGGAUCAGCAAGCCAGGGAGACCCGUUCUUAAAGCUGGGCAGAACCCCAGCCCUGACACCCAUCGAUGUGUGACCUUGAGACAGUCUCUUCGGUGCUGUGAGCCUUCUUACUUCAGCUGUAAAAUGUGGGCUACCUGCUUGCCUCAUGUGGCUCCCAGGAGUUCUUUGAACACACAAAAUGUUGGGUGUGAACACUGCAGCCGUGUCCAUGUGAGGGCUUCUUCCUGAGAAUCAGUCAGGUCUCUGCAGUGUGUUUCUCUGCUGGGCUAUUUUAUCAGAUGUGACCCAUGAAACCCUCACACGAGGGCAGCCCCAGAUCUCCUCUAAGUUAUCACUGAGAACUUUGUCUCUUACCCUGUCCAGGGUCUAUUGUGUGAAGUACUUGCUCAGGUAUUCUCGAAAUAUGUAAGAAAAGUGUCUCUUGAAAAACAUCAUUAGUUUCUUUUUAGCAAGAAAGUGAAAAUUACGUAACCCACCCUUACUGUCUUUUUGCCUCAGCUGCUAGGAAGCUCAGAAUAAAACAUAAGCUCAAUGAUAAUAACAGAGGUGGUUAUUAUGUCUUUUUCUUCUGCUUUUUACCUGACUUUAAUUUCUCCACUUUAUUAGAAUGCACUAAUGGCCAAGCUGACCCAAGGGAAAGGACUGUGGGAACGGGCCUGACACAGUCCACUGUGCCCCCAAGAGCAUUCCUGAUGAAGAUGUGGAAUGCACUUUACAUUUGGUAUUAAUUUCCUGUGGGUUAAAUCAUCAUUUAUAUAGUAGCUUACAACUAUGGAAAUUUAUUCUUAUGGUUCUGGAGGCCACAAGUCCCAAACUGAGGCAUUGGCAGGGCCACACUUCGUCUAGAAGCUUCAGGACAGAAUCCAUUUCUUGCUUCUUCCGGACCCUGGUGGCCGCCAGCAUUCCUUUGCUUAUGCCUGCCUCACUCCGAUAUCUGCCUGUCUUCACAUCCCCUUCCCUCCUAUUUUUUUUCUUCUUUUGCAUCAAAACCUCCCCUGCUGUUUCUGUAAAAGAUUCCUGUGAUUACCUGGUGAGCCUGAAAUAUGGAUUUUUUUUCCAGUACCAGGGAUUGAACUCAGGACCUCACACUUGCCAGGCAGGCACUGUGCGGCUGAGCUAAACACCCAGCCCUUGAAAUAGGGAUUUAAAGGCUGAUUUUGCUAAAAAGACAUCGACUUUUCGCUUGGGCCUUCUUACAGUUUGCAUCCAGAUGUCCCCCUAAAUUCUCAUACACUCAUAGAUGAGGCUAAUAGAGUUUUCAGAGGUGGUUGACAUAGGGUGUGUGAACAUGGAUUAAGGGAGUGUGAUAACUAAAGUAGCCCACUGAUUGGUUUAGCACAGCUCUGGGUGUGGAUAAUGGGAAGCCCCUCCCACCGGGGGGUGGGUGGUACCAGCCAAUAGGCUCUAGCCUGCAUGGAAUAAAAGGGAAGGGAGGCUGCUGCCUGCCACCUUUCUGCCUGCCCUGCCUGGGGCUGUUUCUCCUUUGCCAGGCCACCCUGUCUUGGACACAGAUAACUAUGGACUGAAACCUCUGCAAAUUGUAAGUUUCCUUCCUGAGUGUACACCAAAGCCAAGUACAAGAGUAUUCAGAGUAGAGACUGCUGAGAUCCACGCCAUGUUGGAACUUAGGACCCUGGGAAACCAAGCAAGCAGCUUGCCUCCCUGGUAAGCGGUGGCGGUGUGGCCAACUGUGGCCCUUCCAGGAGGAGAACCACCAGUGUCUUCUGAGACCCACACCAUGCUGGAACUUAGGAUGUGGGGAAUCCAAGCAACCAGCCUGCCUCCCUGCUAAGCGAUAGUGAACCUACUGGUGCACGGCCUAGAGUCAAACAUCUCCCUUUCCCUACCCCUUUUCUCCUGUCCCCCCCCCCUUAGCAAAUGGGAACCAGAAAUUUGAGCAUCUCCUGGGAGGUUGACUGUAGCACAUAAGGGGGACUUCCUUCUACGAUCUCUUUGAAGGCAAAUAUUUUUAUUACUGUUUUGCUCUAUUCUGCUUAAUGGUACUGCUCUAUUCAAUAUUCUGUUUUGAUAAGUUCUAUAAUGUUCUGUAUUUCAUUUUAUUUUGAUAUACGUGAUUGAAAGAACAAGUGUUGUAAAGAUAACGAAAUAUACUGUGAUGCCUAUUACUGUUAUCCCGGUAACCUGCUGUGAAGUUCUGUACCAAUUUCACUACACGGUCUCAGUUGGCUUUUUUCUGUCUUGUUCUGUUGUACUUUACUAUUUUCAAAAUAAAAUUUUAAAAAAGAGCA